GGCCUUGUAGUGUAGUGGUUAGCACGUGGGAUUUUGAGCGUUUGUUCGCCAAACGAAGGAUUCCCGAGUCCCCGGUUCGAACCCGGGCAAGACCU
rnacentral:tRNA from 1 species